GAUGAACGCUGGCGGCGUGCCUAAUACAUGCAAGUCGAGCGAACGGACGAGAAGCUUGCUUCUCUUAUGUUAGCGGCGGACGGGUGAGUAACACGUGGAUAACCUACCUAUAAGACUGGGAUAACUUCGGGAAACCGGAGCUAAUACCGGAUAAUAUUUUGAACCGCAUGGUUCAAAAGUUAAAGACGGUCUUGCUGUCACUUAUAGAUGGACCCGCGCUGCAUUAGCUAGUUGGUAAGGUGACGGCUUACCAAAGCAACGAUGCAUAGCCGACCUGAGAGGAGGAUCGGCCAAACUGGAACUGAGACAAGAUACAGACUCCUACGGGAGGCAGGAGUAGGGAAUCUUACACAAUGGGAGAAAGGCUGAAGGAGCAACGCCGCGUGAGUGAUGAAGGUCUUCGGAUCGUAAAACUAUGUUAUUAGGGAAGAACAUAUGUGUAAGUAACUGUGCACAUCUUGACGGUACCUAAUCAGAAAGCCACGGCUAACUACGUG
rnacentral:rRNA from 1 species